GCACAACCCUGGGUCUCCACUUUCCAUCCACAGGGCGGAACAUCCCCACCUUGCAGGGUUUCAAUGGAAGCAAGUGUGUAGACUGUAGAGGGCAUAAACAUCCAGGAGGUUCUGAAACUGCUGCUCUGACUGGAAGCCAGCACUGGGGUCCCGCCCUGACUCCAUAUCAGCCUGCCCAAGAAAGGCUGACAGCCCACCUGGCUCCGCUUCCCUACUUAGCCCAAGGGGAGGCGGAGACCCAGAGAGCAGGGUCACUGGCUGGAUGUCACACAGCAGCACUUAUUCCCAGUGAGUAGCCCAGCCCUGAUCUUGCUCAACACGGCGCUGUUUCCCACCAACUUGGAUGCAGCCUCAGAACCCUUCUGGACACAGCCUUCCAGGGUGGCCCUGAGAUGAACUGGCCACCGCCUGUCUUCGUCAGAAGCCUGCAGUGGGCCUAAGGACUCGGGGCCAAGGAGGGCCUGGGUGUGUGCAUGUGUGCUCGUGUGUGUUCUGGUUUUGUUUUGGUGUUUUGAGACAAGGUCUCACUAUGUAGUCCAGGCUGGCCCUGCACUUGCGGUGAUCCUGUCUCAGCCUCCCAAGUGCUGGGAUUACAGGCAUGUGCUACCACACUCAGCCCAAGGAAGGCUUUGAUCCUGCUCUUCCUCUCCAUCCCUUGCUCUGGCCUCAGCCCAACCUCCUCCUGGCAUCAGCUGAGGCACCCACGUGUGCCCAGGAAUGCCCUUGCUCAAUAGUCACGCACAGAGGACAAGUCACAUGGAGGGGGCUUUCUGUCACCCCAGGCUUUCAGCCUCCAGCCUGCUGCCAGGGCUUCUGGGGUGUAAGGCAAGGUGCCUGGGUCCCCCAUCCCCAUCAGCCUGGCUGACCCCAGGGACCUCACCCCUCCUGGCCUCUUCUCCUUUCCCCUGGGAACCCAGCCGAGCUGAGCCCCAGGGCUGUGGGUUCCAACACUGGAGGUGGGACCGCAAUUGCUCUUGAGGGACUGGCGGCUGCCCACGCUGGCAGGAGCCCCUCUCUGCCUGUUGAGCUUGCUCUGUGAGGACAGAAGGAAAAAAUGUGUUUUCCUGAGUCUAGGCAGCUGGCGCCAUGGAGCCUCCUCACUGCUGGACGGCAGCAAGGCAGGAAGAACCAGCAGCAGCAGCCUGGGGUCCACCCCAGUUCUGCCACCCACUCACUCACUGUAUCUUCAGGCAUGUCACUCUCCCUCUCUGAGCCUCAGUUUCCCAACAUGCCAAACCUCUUCCGAGCUUAAAGCACCUCCCAGCAAGGAUAAUCGCUGAGUCUAGAUUGGGAAAUUUUGGCCCCAGUGAGGGCCAAGACCACCAGUGGAGGGGAGGCCCUGGAGGAAGGGAAAGGAAAUCAGGGCAGGCUUCCUGGAGGCGAGGGCAUGAGAACACAAAACACAAACACAGGGACUGUCCCCCGUCCACAGGGCUGCUUCCUCUUCCAGCUGGACCAGGGCCACAGCACCUCCCCACUGGCUCUGGUCUCACCUGCUCCACCUCCAAACCCCAGAGCUCUCAGAGGGCUGGUGACUGACCAGACCUACACAGCUGUUUCUAAACCUC
ensembl:lncRNA